GUUUAUUUAUGUUUACAUUUAUUUAUUUAUAUAUAUUUAUUUAUAUUAAUCCUCUAUACAGUUCUCUACAUUUAUCUUAUUUUAAUUUACUUGAAUCCUGUUUUACUUCUAUUAUUAUCUCUACUUUCUAUAUUAGCUAAGAGUUUGUUUACUGUUUACUGUUUUUGUUUACUUUUUAUAGUUAGUUAGUUAAGUUUAUUGUUUAUCUUAUAUUAUUAUUAUUAUAAUUAUUGUUUACCGUUUACUUUUUGUUUUACUUUUUAUAGUUAUCUAAGAGUGUAUUGUUUAUCUUAUAUUGUAUAUAAUUUAAUAUUGUGUUGUGUUUCUUCUGUAAGCUACUGGACAAACAAUUUCCUUGAGGGAGUCAUCCCAAAAGGAUCAAUGAAGCCUAAUCUAAUCUAAUCUAGAUCACCCUGGAGGCUGUUGGACAACUUGGUCUCUCAGAGCACAGCUGUAGCUGUGCUGCGGGCAAAGGCUUCUGUAGCCAUGUAACCGCUCUGCUCUUCCAGACAGCGCAUUAUGUGCAGCUGGGCCUUGACGUGGUUCCACCUUCCCUGGUCUGUACCAGUCAACCACAGAUGUGGCCUCGACCUAGAACACAGGGAAUCCAUCCAGAGGCUGUGAGUGACCUUGUGGUGAAAAAACCCAAGUCGGUGGGGAAGAGUCAAGUCCACACUCUACAGAGCGUAUGCUGAGGGAAUAUCCAGCUUGGAGUUGGUACCAUCUCAGCUGUGCUGACCUGGAAGAUGUCAGCAAUGACCUGUUCUUUAAGGCCAGUUGCUACUCUACAACAGUAGAUGAAAAAGUCAUCAAUGACUGAAAUCUUCCUUGAAGGGCUUGGUGUUGGAAUCGCCUCUUGUCCAAUCCUCUGUGCUUUGCUCCAAUAAAGAAUAUAUUGUAUUGAGGGGCAAACAGACUCCCAAAACACUUCUUGAGAUGGAAACCGAGUAUAAUAUUUCAUGGUCUGAUCAGACACACAAAAUCUGUUGAGGACAGUUUGUGGCCCCAUAGACAUUUCUUUCAGCCUUGCCUCCAGCUCAGCAAUAUACUCCAGGGCAUCAUCCAGUGCACCUACAAAAAAAGAAGACAAAUCAGUCUUCAUUACCAUUCAUUAGUAUUCACCCUUUAUUUUUAUUGUAUUGUUAUUCUGUAUACUUAAGUUUAUUUAUAUUUAUUAUUAUUAAUUAAUUUAUUUGUACUGUUUUCUGUUUUUCUUUUUUAUAUAUUAACUAUAGGUUAAAUGUUGAGCGUUGUACAUAGAGAGCAAAAACCAAAGUCAAAUUCCUAGUUUGUUCACAAACCUGGCCAAUAAAGCUGAAUCUGUAUCUGAAUUAAUAUGCAACCCCAGUUUAACAGUACGUCUGAUGUUGAUUGAAUGUUUUAACGUUAACCAUGCCAUGUUUGGCAAAAUUAUACAAUAGCCCAACAAGUGUUGAACACAAAUAACAGACAUAACAGCUAGUUAGCACACAUCUACUUACCGGCAGGGGGGCGUAUCGCGUAAUCAUGUUCCCUGGUACCUCUCCGGUCCGUUUGUGUUUUGUCCUCUCCUUCAGCUUUUCGAGCCGACACCCGUUUAUACACGGGUGUUUUCUUCGGGGCUGUGGUGUAGUUGUUCCAGUCAAAACGACUGGUAACAGCUCCAGUAUUCAGCGUAGCACUCCCGUCGUUAUAAUCAGCCGCUGAGAAAUGCCGACUACAGACCAGUGUACUCCCCAUUCUGAAUUACGAAAUUAACUCCUUCAUCCCGUCUGAUCGCCCUGACCCACUGUUGUAUUGGGUAUUAGUUGGGAAGUCGUGGAAAUGUAAAUACAUUUUUUUUGGUUUUGAAUUGGCGCAUAGAGGUACACAACCAAAGCUUUUGUUUUUUGACUGCGCCAUCGUCAAAUAUCAUGGACUACUCGACCGGAAGUCCUUUUAACCGGUGAAGGCAAAAUCGAACGCCGAACCAGGAAGUUGUGAGAUAGGCCGGACGAAAAGAUAGCGGCGCGGCGCGGCACGCC